UGCGGAGGAUCAUUGUCGAACCUGCCCUGCAGAACGACCCGCGAACAUGUUUUCUAAUGCAAAGGGGGAGUCAGGGUCAUUGCGCCCCUGACCCCCCCAAUGCCGGCGAGAGGGGUGGCGGGGCUCGCUCCUUCACCUCUGUCGUCGGCUCAACAACCAACCCCGGCGCAGGACGCGCCAAGGAACAUGAAAUGAAAAGAGCACGCAGCUGGUAGGCCUCGGAAACGAUGUGCCUUAGGCAUGCGUCGUCCUCUUUCGAGAACCAAAACGACUCUCGGCAACGGAUAUCUCGGCUCUCGCAUCGAUGAAGAACGCAGCAAAAUGCGAUACUUGGUGUGAAUUGCAGAAUCCCGUGAAUCAUCGAGUUUUUGAACGCAAGUUGCGCCCGAAGCCUUUUGGCCGAGGGCACGUCUGCCUGGGUGUCACGCAACCGUCGCCCCCCAACCCAUUCGCCCAAUCGCGAGGGGCAGGGGAGCGGAUGUUGGCCUCCCGUGAGCCUCGUGCUCGCGGCUGGCCCAAAACUAGAGUCCUCGGCGAAGAUCGCCACGACAAUCGGUGGUUGUAAGACUCUCUGACACUGUCGUGCGCGCUCGUCUACCGUCAGGAAACCUCGAGACCCCGAUGCUGUCCUAAGAGGCAUGCUCCAAACGCGACCCCAG
rnacentral:misc_RNA from 1 species